rnacentral:rRNA from 1 species
UACAGAGGUCUCAAGCGUUGUUCGGAAUUACUGGGCGUAAAGGGUGCGCAGGCCGCGCGGGCAGUCAAAUGUGUAAUUCAGGGGCUCAACCCCUGCACUGCGCUUGAUACUUCCGCGCUCGAGCUUUGGAGAGGAGUCUGGAAUUCUCGGUGUAGCAGUGAAAUGCGCAGAUAUCAGGAGGAACACCAAUGGCGAAGGCAGCACUCUGGGACGUGACUGACGCUGAGACGCGAAAGCGUGGGGAGCAAACAGG